CUAUGGGGACUUACAGAGACUGAGACAUCAACUAAGAAUCAUUCAUGGUCUGGACCUAGGCUCCCUGUACAUAUGUAUCUGAUGGGUGGUUUGGUGUUCAUAUGGUGCACCUGGUCUAAAUGUAACAUGAAUUCCUGAAGUAAUAUCACCUGGACUAAGAAAAUCAAAUUCUGUGCUGGAAAAAAAUGUCUCAAUAGCUAAAAAUAUUGCCCAGGAAACCUUACAUCUCAGUUCAAUGACCAGAAUUUAAAUGUUGGGAGGAGAGAAUUGACUCCCUCAGAAAUUUCCCUACUGAAUCCCCAGUAUGCACAAUUAUGCAGAUUUGCACAGGCAUGUGUGCACACAUGUACACACACACACUGAAUAAAUAUAAAUCUCAAAAUAAAGUAAAAUAAUUAAAAUCA